rnacentral:rRNA from 1 species
UACGUAGGGGGCAAGCGUUGUCCGGAUGUAUUGGGCGUAAAGAGCGUGUAGGCGGCUAGGUAGGUCCGUUGUGAAAACUCGAGGCUCAACCUCGAGACGCCGAUGGAAACCAUCUGGCUAGAGUCCGGAAGAGGAGAGUGGAAUUCCUGGUGUAGCGGUGAAAUGCGCAGAUAUCAGGAAGAACACCCGUGGCUAAGGCGGCUCUCUAGUACGGUACUGACGCUGAGACGCGAAAGCGUGGGGAGCGAACAGG